rnacentral:lncRNA from 1 species
GCAGGAUUGGCUGACGUGGCUGGAGUUGCCUAACCUUAUUUAGAAAGCUGGAGGAACGGAGGAACCUAGACUGUGGAACCUCGAGUUGGCCUGGCAUUUUGAGGAUUGGCUGACGGGUUACAUUGCAGUUCUGGUCAGGCGGAACAUUUAAAGGAACACGGAAGUUUGGCGUGCUGAGGCGACAGUCAGGGGCGGCUGAGUCUUGGCCCUCGGGGUUUAUUCGAGCAGAACCCUCAACCGUUUCUUCACGUAUUCCAGGUGCACGUGUGGGAGACGCACGGGCCGGGGCAGAGUAGAGGUGGAGCUGGACAAGUUGGCGCAGCCAGGGAAGUCCUGUCCCCGUUCCUGAGGGGAUGCACUUUUACCUGUCAGCUGCCUUGACUGCUUCGAGAGGAGUGGGCCAUGUGGCAACAAACUACGAUAACCAGGUCCUCAUUCAUUCAUUCUAAGAAUUUUAUUGGUGCCCACUAUGUGCCAGGGAGAGAAAUCAUGCACUUGAGACCCAGAUUUUGUUGGUUGGAGAGGGGGAAGAUGGCUGCCAACACUGAACUCAUUUUAAAGGAACUCAUUCACGGCCAUAGCGUAAACUUUUUAUUCUCAUUAACAUUAACUGAUCUGUUUCUAUUUAUAUACUUCUUACUUUUAGCUCUCUUUCC